rnacentral:misc_RNA from 1 species
UUUCCGUAGGUGAACCUGCGGAAGGAUCAUUAAUGAGUUGUCAUGGGGUUCGAUGCUGGCAGCCAAUUUUUGGAUGCAUGUGCUUGCCCUAACAAUCAUCUUCCAAACACCUGUGCACAUUUUUGAGGGAGUCUUGAGUUGGUUGCCGCUCUUGGGUGAUUUUCUCACAUUCCCUUAAAUCAUUAUACGCUAUUAACAAUGUUGAACGUGCUCUGUGCCGCAAGGCUAUUAAUAUAAUACAACUUUUAACAACGGAUCUCUUGGCUCUCGCAUCGAUGAAGAACGCAGU